CAGGAGCAAGCACACGCACGGGCUACGUAAGCACGCAUGCACUCACGCAGGCGCUAAGCGUGGCCAGAGGAUCCAGGAGGGUCCUCGGCGAGGCUCGCGUCUGUGUGAAGUCCCAGAGGCCUGGAAGACAGUUCCAUGUCCUGGCGCGGACAGUCGGGAAAGCACUUCGUGUACCUGAAGUCUUCUUAAGAGAAGAUGAAGCGGACUCGCCGGGGAUUUGACCCUGGACCUCUCGCACCCGAAGUGAGACCCCUGCCCCUGCACCAAGCAGCCACCCGCCGGCCUCGCGCCCCACCGGGUGCGGAAGGAGGAGGUGGAGGGCUUGGCUUUGCGUCUGGAUUCUCGGGGAUGCCCGCCCCCGAGUGCUGCAGUAGUUACCCUCCACGCGCCACCCCUGAAGGGCAAGGUCGGUGCCACUGCCCGUCCCAGCUGAAGUCACCAAGCGCCGCUCGCUUGCUUGCAAGAAGACUAACCCGUGGGAAAACACCUCCUUUCUAUCUUUUCUAAACUGAAGCCUGGUGGUUAAAGAGCUAUUGUACAUAUAUAAAUGUUACACCAUAUUUUGAAGGGUGGCAGGAUGGAGGAUGAAAAGAUGAUCUCUGAUGAUCUCUGUUAUCAGUCUGGUCCUCUUCAUCUCUCAAAGGUUCCAGAGCUCUGAAUCAGAUUUGAGAGCAACUCCUGAGACACCUACUACAUCACUUGAAUUUCUUUUUAACUAGACUGUAUGAACAAUAUCAGGGGAUGGAGAGGUGAACAGUCUCAGGUUAUUUUUGAGUCAUUAUUGGAAACUGUAUUAAAGGACAUGUUUUGCAUUCAUGUGAUGUAUAAUGCCCCACCUAGAUCUGACACCUAAUGAGUUAGACAGGUAAUCACAUCCUUCUCAGCCCAGAUUUCUCAACUAAAAGUGAAGUCAGUGCACUC
rnacentral:lncRNA from 1 species